rnacentral:rRNA from 1 species
UACGAAGGGGGCUAGCGUUGCUCGGAAUCACUGGGCGUAAAGGGCGCGUAGGCGGCCAUUCAAGUCGGAGGUGAAAGCCCAGGGCUCAACCCUGGAAUUGCCUUCGAUACUGUUUGGCUAGAGACCGGAAGAGGUAAGUGGAACUGCGAGUGUAGAGGUGAAAUUCGUAGAUAUUCGGAAGAACACCAGUGGCGAAGGCGGCGAUCUGGGAAGAUACUGACGCUGAGGUGCGAAAGCGUGGGGAGCAAACAGG